GUUUGGGGGACGGAAGGAGAUUAAGCCAAUGCGGAAUGCCCGUACACACACUCUAGCACCACCACUUUGGGGACUUCGGUUCUCCCGCUGGCUCGGGCUUGGACCUCGGUCUGCAGGAAGAGGGUUGGAGGGACUGGGCGGCUGCGGCCCUUACCUUGCUGACCACGUUCUGGACGAGGCCGGCGCGAAUGCCGUAGUCCCAUGCGUGGCAGUCACAGUUGGAGGCGUUGUCCCCCUUGUCCGGAGGGGAUGGCAGGGGUGGUGUGUCGCCUCCGUCCGCGCCGCUGCUGUUGCUCCGGUUGCCCGCAGCCUCCCAGGGGGCAGUGGCGAAGGGGGUGGUGGGGAGGCUGGUCCAGUUGCCCAUGUCCCCGCCCCGGCCUGUGGUGGUGACCCCUGCCAGCUCGGUGCCUUUGCCGGCCCCGCGGCACCAGAAGUUGGGCUGGUCCAGGAGGAACGAGUCCGAGAACUGGCUGAAGCCGAUGAACAGCGCCGGGAUCCAGAGCUAAUACAUGCAAAGUUCUGACCUCCAUGCCUGGAACAGACGGCUGAUUUUCCAGAAGACGUCCACUUUGUGUCUGGCUCUGCCUCCUUUCCCCCACAGUCACAAGGACCCAUUUGUUUUCUUGUAACUGAUCACAAAAGGAGCAUUGCCAUUGACCUUAAUGGCCCUUCCAAUCAGAAUAACUAUCAUAGCCAGCGUUUCAGAGUUGGCUUUCAAAUUCACACUCACUCAGUCCUCACAUUCAGCGCCCCAAGAAGUGGGCUUUCAAAGAGAAACAGCAAGGAUCAGGUGACUGACUACCAGAUCAAAGAGUUGGUCCCCAGCUGAACCAAAUAUCUGGUUUUGAACCCAGAUUUUCUGACUGGACAUUACCGGAUUUCUCCAUUUCAUCAUACAGGGGCAACUAUAGGGAAGAGUUUACAAAGAUGUUUGUUAAUGUGCAUUUUUACGUGGGAGAAACCCUGGCCCUAGGAAAAGAGUUUCAUUGUGAAGAUGUUAUUAGUCUUUGUUCGCAAAAGGUGGUAAAAAUCCUCAAAUGGUACAUUCUUAGAAUUUAGGGACACACUGGAAAAUGGUAUCCUCUAAAACUGAAGCUAAAAGGAGGCAACAUAAAAUGUUUGAAAUUAACUAGCUGCAGCACUGACCCAGGCAUUGUAAUUAAGCUGUUGAUUAGAUUAGAGGUUUCCCUAAAUCCCUCCUGGAUUGAUAUUUCCACCAAAUCUAGUCAAGAAGAUUAAAGUGUAACUACUUUAAAAUAAAGUGGCCUUCAAUUUAUUAAAACAUACCACAAGUGAUCUCAUAACGUGAGCAAAAGGAGUAAAGAGGAAGAAUUUGACACUCUGACAGCCUCAGUGGGUGAGGUUUGAGAUGCAUGGACCAGGAUAGGAAAGCCAGACACCUGUUAAAAAAUUACUGUUUUUAAUUUUCUGCAUGAUCAUUAUCAUCAGCUGCUAUUUUUCUUGUUUGCUUAGUUAGAUUUACGUUCUGCCUCUAGAAUGUAAGCACCUUCGGGGAUAGGUGCCUUGUGCUCAGCUGUAUGCUUGGUGGUUAAAACAGUGCCUGGUACAUGCAAGGCGCUCAAUACAUCUUUGUCAAAUAAAUGAGUGUAUCAAGUUAUUAAUCACUUGAUGAUACUGUCUAUUCAAAUCAUCAAACUGUUUACUUUGUUUCUUAAAUCAUCAAGCAACCUUUUUGUGUUUGUUCAUCUCUCAAAGAUGGUGC
rnacentral:lncRNA from 1 species